rnacentral:tRNA from 1 species
GGCGGUGUAGCUCAGUUGGUCAGAGCAGCGGAAUCAUAAUCCGCGUGUCGGGGGUUCGAAUCCCUCCACCGCCA